UUCAGGUUUUGCAAAACUCAAGUUGGGUACCGGUACUGGCUGCCGUGUACUGAUACUUAAGAGGGAGUACCGUUAUACCUUGUGUAAGGACUGAGAUUUUUACAGUGCUACUAAACUCUCUAUUGACGAUAUUUAUGUGUGUAAUUUAAUUACAUAAGCACUCGUCAAGUUUCAGGAGAAAAUGAGCUAAAAUGGAGAAGUUACGCGAUUUUUAAAUUUCAUUUAAGUGAAUAGUAA
rnacentral:lncRNA from 1 species